rnacentral:rRNA from 1 species
CAAUAGCGUAUAUUAAAGUUGUUGCAGUUAAAAAGCUCGUAGUUGAAUUUCUGGCGGGCGCGCCGGUCUUCCAAGUGUUGUACUGGGCGCAGUCCGCCAUCCUUGUGGAGAGGGCUCGCAUUGAGUUGCGUGUCGGAUCUGCAUCAUUUACUGUGAAAAAAUUAGAGUGUUUAAAGCAGGCUGUCGCUUGAAUACAUCAGCAUGGAAUAAUGAGAUAGGACUUCGGUCUAUUUUGUUGGUUGCGAACCGAGGUAAUGAUUAAUAGGGAUAGUUGGGGGUAUUCAUAUUUAAUUGUCAGAGGUGAAAUUCUUGGAUUUAUGAAAGAUGAACAACUGCGAAAGCAUUUACCAAGGAUGUUUUCAUUAA